rnacentral:lncRNA from 1 species
GGAGCUCGCCAUCUCCAGCGAUCUCUACAUUGGGAAAAAACAUGGAGUCAGCUCCGGCAGCCCCCGACCCCGCCGCCAGCGAGCCGGGCAGCAGCGGCGCGGACGCGGCCGCCGGCUCCAGGGAGACCCCGCUGAACCAGGAAUCCGCCCGCAAGAGCGAGCCGCCCGCCCCGGUGCGCAGACAGAGCUAUUCCAGCACCAGCAGAGGUGACUUUACAAUCUCCAGACACAGGCAUUUCUCUCAGAAGUGGAGUGAAGGAACGAGAACCACGUGCUAGAGUGUGUUUCCCUGGGUGAAGUAUUGGGGGGAAAGAUAAGAGUGGUGCAGCAGGGGAAGGGGACCGUGCCUUCAGAGAUGAAGGAUGCUGCCUAUUUGGGGCCUGGGAGUGCAGGUUGUGAAGGAAGGAAGGAGACUUCUCUGGCAAAAGAGAAUGCAAUUAGCAUUGACUCUGAAAUGGCUGGGAAUGUGCCUUUCUGAUUUUAAAUUAUCUUUAACAAGGACAGUGAAAAGAGGAAAAGUUGACACUGUGAAAAGUUAUGACGAACUUGUCGAGCUUGCCAGUUGACAAAGGCAGUUCAGGGAAUACUUGGAGAAAGAGAACAAGAACAGGCCUGAAGGACAGGACGAUGUGCUUCCUGGUGCGGUACAGGAAUCGGCAGGCAUCUUUAUUGACUCUUCCAGUUAGUUUUAAAGACACCUGAAGAAAUGGACAAAGACGAGCAGAGACCCCCCAGAUGCAAUGCCGCCCUUCCAGAAGCAGAGAGGCCUCUGUCAUCCCCUAUGAUCGACGCCAGUCAUGGGAGGAGGGACGGCUCGGAAAUGGAUUUUCAUCGGAUGGAUCACAGAGGGAACAAGGGUAUAUUUUGUCUAGAAACUUUGCAGUAAACGGCAUUGCUUUUCAUUUUCACUGUACGAUUGUAAAGCCAGUGGAUGGUAAGAAGGCCACGGGAACAGUACCGCUUGUGCUCUCUCAUGUGAUGGGGAUAUUAUAUCUGAAAGGACAGGAAUUGGGGAGGGUGAACUGCCCGUAACUGUCAGUUGUCCAGCCAAUGAAGCAGGGGGAAAGCAAUGGCAAGUGAAAUACUUUGAUAUUUGAAAAUGAUGCCACUUUUAGUGACCCUGUUAGUUGACUGAUGGUGACAAGGGUGAAAUUGCCUGAGUUGUAUUUUAUCAUCUCUGGCACUCAUGACCCACGUCGCAUGAGCACGUUUCUGCAGAGGGUGCAUGAAGAUUUGUAAGCUGCUAAACUUUCUUAAGGCCCCACAGAGAAUCAGUAGGACAAGGGUGGCACCCCUGAAGGGCUCUAGAAAGUUCUAAAGCUUGCAUUCUCAUCUUGAGCUUGAGGGUGUUGGUUAGAUAUAUGGUACUCGCUCAUGAGGCUGCCACCGGUCAUGUUUUGUUAGACUAAAGCUUGUUGGAGGCGGAAGAGGCCUUAUGAACCAUCCAGCCUUUAACAGUGGUACACACAGAGGUCUCAGAAUGUGCCUGAGAUUCCAUUCCCAGGGGUGACAAGGCCGUGAGUGGAACACAGGGCUUCUCCCUCCCUAAUAAUGUGCUUUCCACUUGUGUGUGGUCCCAGGAUGCUCAGAACUUCCUGGAAGGUACAAAGUCAAGUUCCUGCCCUCAGGAGAGCCCCCUGAGGAUAUUAUGAUGUAUACACAGGUUAAUUCACCCAGCCUUUGGCAGUAGGUACAUAUGAAAGUAAGUGCAGGCUGUUGGGCUGUGUAUCAGUUCUGGAACAUUAUCAGUAUUACUAUUUUUGCAUCCCAUUGGGCAUUUGUAUUGCUCAUUAAAAAUUAGCCAGUGAGUUUGUGGUUCUUCCAAUGAAACCAUUUAAAAGCCUAGUGAAGGUAGUGCUUGCAUCUCCCUUUCUGACUUAGGAGAAAGUGAAAUACAGGGUAUGGAGUGGAGCAUACUUUCCUUGACGCAUUACACUCAUAGGAGCUAGAGGCAGCCAGCUCCAGCUGUGCAGUGGGGGAGGGUGUCUCCCAGCAGCUGUCCUCUUUCCUUAAGGCAGAGGGUUUAAGGCUGUGCCUUUUGUAGGGUAGCAAAUCUGCGGAUGGAAUACUGUGUAGCCAGUAAAAAUCACGUUGUAAUGGAAAAUGUUUGGGAUGUGUGGCUUAGUGAAAAGUCACAGUUUUCAUAGUAGUAUGCAUGAAAUGGGACCAUUUUUGUACAUACUAUUGAGUGUGUGUGUGUAUUAACAUGGACCCAAGUAUGUACACCUAAAUGAUGACAUGGUAAAGUGGUCCUCUCUAGAUGGUGGAGUUAUCUGUGCAUUUCUUUUUUCCUCUGUGCUUUUCUGUAUUUUCUGAGUUUCCUACAUUAUGGGUGUAUUAUUUUUGUAACUGGAAAAAAAAAUAAACCUUAUGUUUUU